rnacentral:rRNA from 1 species
GACGGAGGGGGCAAGCGUUGUUCGGAUUUAUUGGGCGUAAAGCGCGCGCAGGCGGGCUGGUCAGUCUGGGGUGAAAUCUCACGGCUCAACCGUGAGAGGUCCUUGGAUACUGCUAGCCUUGAGGGGCUCAGAGGAGAGUGGAAUUCCCGGUGUAGUGGUGAAAUGCGUAGAUAUCGGGAGGAACACCAGUGGCGAAGGCGGCUCUCUGGGACGGUACUGACGCUGAGGAGCGAAAAGCGUGGGGAGCGAACAGG